rnacentral:rRNA from 1 species
UGCAAGUCGAGCGGAUUGAUGGGAGCUUGCUCCCAUCAGUCAGCGGCGGACGGGUGAGUAACACGUGGGUAACCUGCCUGUAAGACUGGGAUAACUCCGGGAAACCGGGGCUAAUACCGGAUAACUCAUUUCCUCGCAUGAGGAAAUGUUGAAAGGUGGCUUUUCGCUAUCACUUACAGAUGGACCCGCGGCGCAUUAGCUAGUUGGUGAGGUAACGGCUCACCAAGGCGACGAUGCGUAGCCGACCUGAGAGGGUGAUCGGCCACACUGGGACUGAGACACGGCCCAGACUCCUACGGGAGGCAGCAGUAGGGAAUCUUCCGCAAUGGACGAAAGUCUGACGGAGCAACGCCGCGUGAGUGAUGAAGGUUUUCGGAUCGUAAAACUCUGUUGUUAGGGAAGAACAAGUACCGUUCGAAUAGGGCGGUACCUUGACGGUACCUAACCAGAAAGCCACGGCUAACUACGUGCCAGCAGCCGCGGUAAUACGUAGGUGGCAAGCGUUGUCCGGAAUUAUUGGGCGUAAAGCGCGCGCAGGUGGUUCCUUAAGUCUGAUGUGAAAGCCCACGGCUCAACCGUGGAGGGUCAUUGGAAACUGGGGGACUUGAGUGCAGAAGAGGAAAGUGGAAUUCCAAGUGUAGCGGUGAAAUGCGUAGAUAUUUGGAGGAACACCAGUGGCGAAGGCGACUUUCUGGUCUGUAACUGACACUGAGGCGCGAA